UCUGGUUUAGGUGAGUUGGGAAUUCAGUUGCUAGGAGAAAAGGUCUCUUAGUUCUUGUUAAAAAUAAUUUUAGAGCCAAUAUAUAGGCUUUUAAACUAUUUUUGAGUGAAAGCAUUUUUUUUUUUCUAUCUUUACAUUGGAAAGGCCUGGCCUGAACACUUCAAAGGUUUCCUAAAUGCUGGUCACAAAAAAAGACUGAUACCCAAGACAUACUUGAUGGAAGUAGAUUUUGAAGGCUAUGAUUUGACCACUUGCAUGAAUAUCUACAUGACAAUGCAUUAUAUGAUGGGUGCUACCCAAAGAGCAAGUUAUAUUUCAGCUCCACAAUCAACAAAUAGCUCCGAAAACCAAAUAGGCCACACUGUUGGAAGUCAGAGCAAGCGAGGUCAAAUAGAAGCCUCAGCCGGCCAGAUAUAAAGUCUUCUCAUCUUCUUUGUGGAAAUUUCCAGGCUUCACAUUCAUUCAUCAGGAUAUCCUUUUCGCAAGCACUUACCAUUGAAAUUGUUGAGCUGCUACACACUCCAUCUGAAGAUGACACAGCUGGUCCAUGUUGGAUGACCUUUUAUGUCAUAUCUGCAUCCAUGGAUUUCUCUAUUUGCUUUCCUUUGUGAUAUUUUCAGCACCAGGAAGUUUCACUCACCUUGACCAUUGUUUUCACACAUUUGGGCUACAGACAUGAGGUUGUUGUUUCAUUUGAAUCCAAAAAGAUGGACAGGAAGGAAAACAGACAGUAGAGAUAUCAUCCAUUUCCUAACUGAAUCAUAACACUCUAUUUUCAUGACUUUGUCACAUGGCAGAAAAAUGCACGGAAUUCAUUUGAAGAAGCAUAAACAGUGAGGCUGUGACAUGUUCUCUUGUUGAGCAUCCCUAUACUAAACACAAAGACAGCUUGGUUGCAGAGGGGAUUAUUAGCUUCUCUGAUGACACAUUCCCCUAAUA